rnacentral:rRNA from 1 species
UGGGGAAUUUUGGACAAUGGGCGAAAGCCUGAUCCAGCAAUGCCGCGUGUGUGAAGAAGGCCUUCGGGUUGUAAAGCACUUUUGUCCGGAAAGAAAUCCUUGGCUCUAAUACAGUCGGGGGAUGACGGUACCGGAAGAAUAAGCACCGGCUAACUACGUGCCAGCAGCCGCGGUAAUACGUAGGGUGCAAGCGUUAAUCGGAAUUACUGGGCGUAAAGCGUGCGCAGGCGGUUUGCUAAGACCAUGUGAAAUCCCCGGGGCUCAACCUGGGAACUGCAUUUGGGUGACUGGGCAGGCUAGAGUAUGGCAGAGGGGGGUAGAAUUCCACGUGUAGCAGUGAAAUGCGUAGAGAUGUGGAGGAAUACCGAUGGCGAAGGCAGCCCCCUGGGCCAAUACUGACGCUCAUGCACGAAAGCGUGGGGAGCAAACAGGAUUAGAUACCCUGGUAGUCCAGCGCCCUAAACGAUGUCAACUAGUUGUUGGGG